GGGCCUGUAGCUCAGAUGGGAGAGCGCUGCAUUCGCAUUGCAGAGGGCGGGGGUUCGAAUCCCCUCGGGUCCACCA
rnacentral:tRNA from 1 species